UGUUGACGCAUGUGUGGUAAAUAACGGCAGUGCGUUAUAUUUGGCAGAGAUUUGUGAGAGGCACGUCUGAGCUUCCGUAGACGAUUCGUGCAUCCUUUAAGGACCGCGCUCGUCACAGCACGCAUUCUGCAUUGACACUCUCUGGGAAAUGUGGCGUUUGCAAACUACGUUGUGCGUGGGUCUGUUUCCACCGCCGUGAUUUCCCCCGGCAGCCCUGUUUUAGGGCAGCAUGACGUCACCGACUGUAUCUGACUGUACGCAGCGCGUGCCGCGGAGCGCGUGCUCCGAGCACAUGGAAAAGGGCUCGAGACGGAGUGGCCAAAGAAUAACUCCACACCUGAAACGGAAUAUCAAUAAGAAUGCAUUCAGAUCUGAGGCAAUAUGGACCUUCACAACAGCUGCCAGUCAGCCUGCCGGUCUAUCGGAUGCCUGAAACCGGAGCCACAAACGAAUGCCAAAGUUUUGAGGAAAAGACCUACAUGCUUUGCCCCCCGUGAUUUAACAGCUCCCUGUCAUCAAAGUCAAUGAUGCUGCUUUGCUGUGAAGAGAUGAGGAGCUGCUGCUGUUGUCUGCAGACAGCUGGGCUUUUACACAGAGAGCGUAAAGAUGUGGAGAAGGGUAAGGAUGUUUUGAGUUACUCUGAAUUCAUCGUUACACAUCUGUGAAUCCAAUUUUUUCUACAUGUAUAUUUGACGUUUAAUGUUGAUGCAACUGUAGUUUCAACAUCUGUUUUUCUUUGUCACAUAUUCUUUGUUUAAUAGUAAAGAUUUGACCAUUGUAACAUUACCAUUGAUCAUUAUAAUGGAACAUAUUCCUUGUGUCAGUUUCACAGUGUCAAAAAUAAAUCAAUGUUGUAAGUUAAAGGGACAGUUCACCCAAAAAUUUAAAUUCUAUUAAAAACAUAGGAAGAUAUUUGGUAACCAAACAGUUCUUGACCACCAUUGACUACCAUAGUAGGAAAAAUGAUGGUAGUCAAAAGUGCCCGAGAAGAGUUUGCUUUCCUACAUUCCUCAAAAUAUAUUGUUUUGUGUUCUACAGAAGACAUUUUUUCCUACUAUGGUAGUCAACGUGACCAAAUUUGGUUACAAGCAUUCUUCCAAAUAUCUUUCUCUGCGUUCAUCCGAUUAAAGACAUUUAUAGAGAUUUGGAACAAUUUGUGGGCGAAUAAAUGAAGGCUGAUUUUUUGGGGGAUGAAAUGUUCCUUUAAUGCUGAUUCAAAUACAUAAGUAUUAAAUUCCCAAUGUUCAAAUUCUCAGAAUACAAUUUUAGUAUAACAUCAAAUAAACUUUCUGUAAUUCACUUUGAAUCGUAAGUUUAUUAUAUUAACAAAAUAUAUAUUAGCCACUGGUCAUCCUGUUUCUUAUGUGACCCAGUCUGUGAAAACCAUGUUUUAAAAUGUAUAUCUGAGAUAACAAGCAUCAAGGUUUAAUUUUAAUCAUUAAUUUCACUAUGAUUUCAAUCUUUGACAUGUUCUGACUCAGUCAAUGUUAAAAGUUCUUUACAUUACGUAGGAAUUUCUUUUACAUUAUGUUUUAAACAGCAAAUCACAAACAAAUGACUUUAGCUGGGUGUUUACAGAGGGCGUCACAUAUGUCCAGUUGAUAACACAACUAAAGCUAUUGUUUCCAUUACAAUAAUUGACAAGAAUGACAGGUGGAUGACGUUUCUAUACAUCUCAAAAGCACCAAAUAUUUAUUUAUUCAUUAAUCAUAGUUUGUUUUAAAUAUUUUCUAUCGUACGGUUUUCUACAGGAUGCCUUCAACAAAGAUUUGCUCUCAAAGCUUUUUGUAAACAACUCCACCCCCUGUACCUUUUCUUUACAUACAGUACGUCUCAUGUCUAUUGUACAUAGUAAUUCUUCUGUAAAUGUUUAUUUCUUAUUCAAGUUAUGUUGAAUAUGUUAUUUUAUUCUGUCUUUUUGUGUCCCUUCAUGUUACUGAAGUGUGUCCAUCAAUAAAGGUCUUUCUGAUGCGAAAA